rnacentral:rRNA from 1 species
GACGUAGGGGGCCAGCGUUGUUCGGAAUUACUGGGUGUAAAGGGUUCGUAGGCGGUGCGGCAAGUUGGGAGUGAAAUCUCUGGGCUUAACCCAGAGGCUGCUUCCAAAACUGCUGUGCUUGAGUGUGGGAGAGGCGCGUGGAAUUGCAGGUGUAGCGGUGAAAUGCGUAGAUAUCUGGAGGAACACCGGUGGCGAAGGCGGCAUCCUGGACCGGCAUUGACGCUGAUGAGCGAAAGCUAGGGGAGCAAACAGG